GAAAAUUUAAUUAAAAAUUAUAUAAUAUUGAAAUGUCAUUUCAAAAUUGUUGAUACAUAACAGUUUUCG
rnacentral:tRNA from 1 species